rnacentral:rRNA from 1 species
CAGCAGUGGGGAAUAUUGCACAAUGGGCGCAAGCCUGAUGCAGCCAUGCCGCGUGUAUGAAGAAGGCCUUCGGGUUGUAAAAGUACUUUCAGCAGUGAGGAAGGUGGGUAUGUUAAUAGCAUAUUCAUUUGACGUUAGCUGCAGAAGAAGCACCGGCUAACUCCGUGCCAGCAGCCGCGGUAAUACGGAGGGUGCGAGCGUUAAUCGGAAUUACUGGGCGUAAAGCGCAUGCAGGUGGUUGUUAAGUCAGAUGUGAAAGCCCGGGGCUCAACCUCGGAAUUGCAUUUGAAAACUGGCAAACUAGAGUACUGUAGAGGGGGUAGGAAUUUCAGGUGUAGCGGUGAAAUGCGUAGAGAUCUGAAGGAAUACCGGUGGCGAAGGCGGCCCCCUGGACAGAUACUGACACUCAGAUGCGAAAGCGUGGGGAGCAAACAGGAUUAGAUACCCUGGUAG